UAAUAAGUGUUUUAUGGCACUUUUUAAAUCCAUAUCCACCUUGUGUGCAAUGUCGGUCGAUCUUCUUUAUUGAGGAUUGGACCAAACAUUAACCAUAUCUUUUAACUCUUUGUCUGAAAAAUAUUAUGAAUAAACAAUUCAAAAUA
rnacentral:misc_RNA from 1 species